rnacentral:rRNA from 1 species
UCAUUAUUGAAUAAAACUUGGUUGGGUUGCUGCUGGCUCUCAGGAGCAUGUGCACGCUCAAUUGAUUUUAACCACCUGUGCACACACUGUAGACCUGGAAUGAACUUUUGUCGGGGAAACUCGGUUUGAGAAUUGCGUAUCAGCUGUUCUUGCAUUCUAGGUCUAUGUUUUAAUAUAUACUCCAUAACAAGUGAUAGAACGUUAAACAUUGGCCUUCUGUGCCUUUUAAACCUAAUACAACUUUCAACAACGGAUCUCUUGGCUCUCGCAUCGAUGAAGAACGCAGCGAAAUGCGAUAAGUAAUGUGAAUUGCAGAAUUCAGUGAAUCAUCGAAUCUUUGAACGCACCUUGCGCUCCUUGGUAUUCCGAGGAGCAUGCCCUGUUUGAGUGUCAUGAAAUUCUCAACCUUUCUGGCUUGUUAUGAGCUGGGUCAGGCUUGGAUUGUGGGAGUUGCUGGCUUGUCAGCUCUUCUUAAACGUAUUAGCAAAAUUCUUGCUGGACCAUCAUUGGUAUGAUAAUUAUCUAUACCUUUGAGAAUACANCUUUUUCCACUUUGAUGGAAUUUNAGGCUCUGCUUGGAUUUAUCUCCAAGUGUUCGAUUCAACCGUUCUGAAGCACCCGCUUAGGCACAGACGUGUAAACAUGUUUGAAUGGUGUUGAAUACUUCAGGUUGACGAAGCGAGGUGUUCCUCUAGG